UACAGAGGGGGGCAAGCGUUGUUCGGAAUUACUGGGCGUAAAGGGCGCGUAGGCGGCCGCCUAAGUCAGACGUGAAAUCCCUCGACUCAACCGGGGAACUGCGUCUGAUACUGGGUGGCUUGGAAUUCGGGAGAGGGAUGCGGAAUUCCAGGUGUAGCGGUGAAAUUCGUAGAUAUUCGCAAGAACACCAGUGGCGAAGGCGGCUCACUGGCCCGAUACUGACGCUGAGGCACGAAAGCGUGGGGAGCAAACAGG
rnacentral:rRNA from 1 species